AUCCCAUGAUGAGGACACUUACGAAGUAAUUCCUUAAAUCUUUCCCGCGCCUUGUACAAGGAUUCAUCAUCCAACUGUGAAAAAGUGGUUAUCUCAUUUUGCAACU
rfam:Gossypium raimondii chromosome 8, whole genome shotgun sequence.